rnacentral:rRNA from 1 species
UACGUAGGCAGCGAGCGUUGUUCGGAGUUACUGGGCGUAAAGGGUGUGUAGGCGGUUGUUUAAGUUUGGUGUGAAAUCUCCCGGCUCAACUGGGAGGGUGCGCCGAAUACUGAAUGACUAGAGUGCGGGAGAGGAAAGUGGAAUUCCUGGUGUAGCGGUGAAAUGCGUAGAUAUCAGGAGGAACACCGGUGGUGUAGACGGCUUUCUGGACCGUAACUGACGCUGAGACACGAAAAGCGUGGGUAGCAAACAGG